UACGUAGGGACCAAGCGUUGUCCGGAAUCAUUGGGCGUAAAGAGCGUGUAGGCGGAUUUGUUAGUCAGGGGUGAAAUCCCGGGGCUCAACCUCAGAACUGCCUUUGAUACUGCAAAUCUCGAGUCCGGAAGAGGUAAGUGGAAUUCCUAGUGUAGAGGUGAAAUUCGUAGAUAUUAGGAAGAACACCAGUGGCGAAGGCGGCCCACUGGUCCGGUACUGACGCUGAGGUGCGAAAGCGUGGGGAGCAAACAGG
rnacentral:rRNA from 1 species